CACUCCAACCCAACCUGUUCUCUUAUAUAUAUAUCUCGCAGCAUCCUUCUUCUCCGUGAGCCUUAUCCCUCUCUGUAUGAAUCCUGCUUCCUCUCUUCUUCACAACCUUGGCUCACCCAUUCACCCACAUGCGGCGAAUGUGUAGAUCCAGUGGUCCUCUACAACACAAAGGUCGGAUCUUUUCAAGAUUUGGCGGUGAGGGAACCCAGAUCGAGUGAAAACACAGAUCGAGAUAAAACCCAAAUCGAGAGAGGACACAUAUUGAGAGAAAACCAGAUCGAGGUGAACAUGUUCUCCGUUUUUUUCUCUUCUCUGUUAUGCUCUUCGAUUUUCUGUUUUUUUGUGAAGAUUGAUGGCUAUGGUGGAGAAACAAGGUGGUGAGGAUAGAGAAAAUCGGUUAUGGGUUUACUGUUUUGGUUAUGAGUUUGCAGUAAUGAAGAGGGAGGUAAGGAGGAGAGAUUGAUGAUUUUGAGACUUUCUGGCUAAAUUUUCUUCUUCCUCGACGCACCAGCAAACUCCACGGUUGAUUCAAGAAUUUGGUGGGUUUGAUGGGGUUUCAAGAACAAUUCAAGGGUCGAGAAUGAUUCAAGGGUCAGAUUUUUGGUGGUGGAGACCCACUAAAGUUUGAUUGGGAGAAAUUAGUUUUGGUUAUGGUGGCUUAUGGUUUUUGGGUUUUAUCUACUUCUUCAAGCCUGAUUUUUUUUCUUCCGGUUUCCUCACAUCUACAAACAUUCUGGGUUUUAAUUAAUGGAAAGGAUAAAGUGUGGGUAUUUUGAAUUUUAAUUUCUGAGUUUUAUUUGUAAUUCAGGUUUUUGAACUUUGGUUUUUUUUUUUUUUUGAAUUUUAGGGGUUUUUAAGUUUGAAGAUGAUAGAAGUUGAAG
rnacentral:lncRNA from 1 species